UGUCUGUGUGUCUGUGUGUGUGUCUGUCUGUGUCUCUGUCUGUGUGUCUGUGUGUCUCUCAGUGCCUGAAUGGGGUGGUGAAGGAAGCGAAAGCUUUGAGUUCUUCACUUCUGAAGGAGAUCCAGAGGAUGUGUCUCUCUCAGCUUCACACCUUCCUACACGGCCUUCAAGCCUUGGAGAGGAAGCGCAUGAGUGCAGGGCUUGGUGCAGGAGAGGGAGGGAUCCUCCACCUGUUCAGGACCAUCAACACCUGCAGGGAGCUCAGGCUGUUAGCGGGGCAGUUAGCAUCUGAGGCUCAGACUGAUGCUGCUGCUCCUGCCGUGAGCCUCUUGGAGGAACUGGAGGCUCAGGCCAAAGAACAGCUGCUGCACACAACAACACACAACAUAGAGGCAGCUUUGAAGACCUACUUUAAGACUGGGGGUGAUGACAUGUGUGAUGUCACGACCAGGAUUGAACCGCUGUUUGCCCCUUUACCAUUGGUCAAAGAUACACACACUCGGAAGGUCCUGGUUGACUCCGUUUACCAGAAUAUCACUUCCUUGUACCUGCGACACCUGUUGCUAAGCAACCGCAGUCAGCUGGACAAGAGAUGGAGUGAUGUUGGGCUGAGAGUGAGACGGGAUGCAGAGGAGCUACACAAGUCCUUCACACAGCAGGAAGGUAGUGUGGAGAAAAGGUGUGUGUCCUUACAGAAGAUCAGUGAGGUUCUGAAGACCAAUGAUGUGAACACACUAAAACUAGUCCUCAUCGAGAUCAUCAACGAGUGCCCUGGCAUCAGCGGUGAGGAACAGCUGAAUACCCUGCUGAGAUGGAAGGGCCAGUUGUCACGGCAACAGCAGACAGAAGUGAUGGAUGCAGUUGUGGAAUAUUGCCCCCGAUCCGCCCCCAAUGACUCACCUGCACACACUCUGGCUCCGCCUCCGGCUCCGCCUCUCCGUCCCGCCUCCAGGUGGUACCGCGCCAUGUCCUGCCUCAGGCCACCAAUCACAGACUGAGGUCCGCUCAGGCCACCAAUCACAGCCUGAGGUCUAUUCAGCCGACCAAUCACAGCCUGAGGUCUGCUCAGCCGACCAAUCACAGCCUGAGGUCUAUUCAGCCGACCAAUCACAGCCUGAGGUCUGCUCAGCCGACCAAUCACAGCCUGGGGUUUGGCAAUGUUUAUGGUAGUGGGGUACUGUUUUCUUUCUGGGGUGCCAACUCAUUAUAAUUCAGUGAUGUGUAUGGGCCAUUCUACCGAAUUGGUGCAAAGUGUGGUCCCACAACAAUAAAAACUAUUUACAAAACAAUUAAGUAUUCAGACAUAGAUAUUUACUAAGAAUAUGUUAUGGUCUAUUUAAACCCAAGACAUUAAUUGAGAUAGGGAUAAGCUAAAUAUAUACAAAAUCAUCAUUUAUAAGGUACUUUCUAUUGGGAAGUAGCUGUCCCCAACCCUGACAUCUAAAUUUCAAUGUCUGUAAAUAACACUUUUUAGAUUUUUUUGAUUUUUUUCAAUGAUGCAAUUUCAAAGAUCUUUACGAUUAAGUUUAAACAGAACUUGGAAGAUUUAGAUUUAUUGUGAGUUUAAUUUAAAAAAAAAUAAACUAUACUCAAAAAAUCAUGUCCAUAGAUUUCAUGUCACUACCGAAACACAGGAGUUUUAGUCCAUUGGCUGAGCCUGUUUUUUAGCCAUACCCCUGAAUUUAUAACCAGGCAGUGAUACUGCAUCCCUGUCCCUCAUGGCUGAAUGGUAAGUAGCUAGAUC
ensembl:lncRNA